CUGAAGAAUCUCUCAGGAUGAAAUAUCUUGUGGCUAUUGUAUUUCUUGCUGGUGCCUAUUUGGUAGUGUGUGAAGCAGCCUGUUAUUUCCAGCUACCUGAAGCAGGUGACCAGCCACCAAAGGGAUGUCUCUAUAAGGGAAAAUUACAUCCAUUCGG